rnacentral:rRNA from 1 species
CCUACGGGAGUCAGCAGUGGGGAAUCUUGCACAAUGGGGGAAACCCUGAUGCAGCGACGCCGCGUGAGUGAAGAAGUAAUUCGUUACGUAAAGCUCUAUCAGCAGGGAAGAAACACUGACCUUGCGGUCAGCAGACGGUACCUGAGUAAGAAGCCCCGGCUACCUACGUGCCAGCAGCCGCGGUAAUACGUAGGGGGCAAGCGUUAUCCGGAUUUACUGGGUGUAAAGGGAGCGUAGAGGGGGCGUCAAGUGUGGAGUGAAAUGCCGCAGCUUAACUGCGGAACUGCUUUGGAAACGGGCGAACGAGAGUGCGGGAGGGGUAAGCGGAAUUCCUAGUGUAGCGGUGAAAGGCGUAGAUAUUAGGAGGAACACCGGUGGCGAAGGCGGCUUACUGGACCGUAACUGACGUUGAGGCUCGAAAGCGUGGGGAGCAAACAGGAGUAGAUACCCCUGUAGUC